UCUGCCCUGUGGCUUAAGGGAGAAACAGGUUCUCUUUAGGAAAUCUGUGGAGCCCUAGUCUGGACAGGGACCACAGAGAACCCUUGGCCUAUACUGAGAGCAGCCAGCCCUGCAGAUGCACCCAGCCCUGCCUAGUCCCUGCUGAUUUGCAUUUGCCUAGAGCACAGCCAGCUGCUGGAGUAUUUCUUAAGAGGCUACUGGUCACACCCUGUGCAGCAGUCAGUCCCAGUCAGGAUACAGCAUGGACAUGAGGGCCCCCACUCAGCUCCUGGGGCUCCUGCUGCUCUGGGUCCAAGGUGCCAGAUGUGACAUCCAGAUGACCCAGUCUCCAUCUUCUCUUUCGGCAUCCAUAGGAGACACUGUCACCAUCUCUUGUCAGGCGAGUCAGGACAUAAACAAAUAUUUAGCUUGGUAUCAACAGAAACCAGGGAAAGCUCCUAAACUUCUGAUCUAUUAUGCAUCUAGCUUAGAAUCUGGGGUCCCACAGAGGUUCAGUGGCAGUGGAUCUGGGACAGAUUACACUCUCACCAUCAACAGUGUGGAGGCUGAAGAUGUUGGAACUUAUUAUUGUCAGCAGCAUCAGAGUUACCCUCCCACAGUGAUACAAGUCAUAACAUAA